rnacentral:rRNA from 1 species
CACGUAGGGGGCAAGCGUUGUCCGGAUUUAUUGGGCGUAAAGAGCUCGUAGGUGGUUCGGUAAGUCGGGUGUGAAACCUCCAGGCUCAACCUGGAGACGCCACCCGAUACUGCUGUGACUGGAGUCCGGUAGGGGAGCGUGGAAUUCCUGGUGUAGCGGUGAAAUGCGCAGAUAUCGUAAGGAAGACCAGUGGCGAAGGCGGGUCUCUGGACAGUUCCUGACGCUGAGGCACGAAGGCCAGGGGAGCAAACGGG